CCGGACACACCACAGUCAGCUCCUGUUGGAGGACUCAAACUCCCCCUCAGAGUGGCUGGCGUAGCGGCCGAGGCAGUGGGAGUGGAAAUAGUGGUAGCAGCUCGUCUUGGUGAACGUCUCCCCCUCCUGGCAACACACGGGACACACAGCAGCAGGACGGGGAUUCUGAAACACACUGAGCAAACUGAAACAACAUUUCUCAUCAUCUGGACUCCUGAAUAUUUC